rnacentral:rRNA from 1 species
GACGAACGCUGGCGGCGUGCUUAACACAUGCAAGUCGAACGAUGAAGCAAAGACUUGGAGCUUCGGCAGAAAUUCAAUCCGGAGUAGUGGCCGACGGGUGAGUAACGCGUGAGCAACCUACCCCUCACAAAGGGAUAGCCUCUGGAAACCGGGAGUAAUACCAUCUAACAUUGCGACGAAGCAUUUCGAUGCAAGCACAGCUACGGCGGUAAGAGAUGGGCGCGCGUCACAUUAACCAGAUGGUGAGGUAACGGCUCGCCAUGGUAAGGAAGGGUGACCGGGCGGAGAGGGGGCCCGGUCACACUUGAACUGCGGCACGGUCCCGACUCCUACGGGAGGGUGCAGUGGGGAAUACUGCACACUGGAGCGAACUCUGAUGCCGCGGCGCGGCGUGAGUGAUGAAGGAAUUCGUAUCGUACAUCUCUGUUCUAUGAGAAGAAAGUGACGGUACCGUAUGAGAAAGCACCGGCUAACUACGUG